AAUCCGACGCGGACGGGUGAAGUAACACGUGGGUAACCUGCCUGUAAGACUGGGAUAACUCCGGGAAACCGGGGNCUAAUACCGGAUAACACCUACCCCCGGCAUGGGGGAAGGUUGAAAGGUGGCUACGGCUAUCACUUACAGAUGGACCCGCGGCGCAUUAGCUAGUUGGUGAGGUAAUGGCUCACCAAGGCGACGAUGCGUAGCCGACCUGAGAGGGUGAUCGGCCACACUGGGACUGAGACACGGCCCAGACUCCUACGGGAGGCAGCAGUAGGGAAUCUUCCGCAAUGGACGAAAGUCUGACGGAGCAACGCCGCGUGAGUGAAGAAGGUUUUCGGAUCGUAAAACUCUGUUGUUAGGGAAGAACAAGUGCCGUUCGAAUAGGGCGGCGCCUUGACGGUACCUAACCAGAAAGCCACGGCUAACUACGUGCCCAGCAGCCCGCGGUAAUACGUAGGUGGCCAGCGUUGUUCGGAAUUAUUGGGCNUAAGCGCGCGCNGGUGGUUUCUAAAGUCUGAUGUGAAAGCCCCCGGCUCACCGUGGAGGG
rnacentral:rRNA from 1 species